AACAUAUGUGUUUGGAUGCUCCAGGUGGGACGGAGCUUCAUGACCUUUCCUGCAUGUGAAACAAACAAAGAGCUCAUUUGCAUUUGCAUUUGUUUUUUUGUGAGACGUACAACGUUUUCCAUUGAGCUCAGGAUGUGGAUAAACUGUUAAAACUGAACUGAAACUGAACAGAACAAGGACGACGUCGACACAGGAUGGAGCUCAGCUCACUCUGCCUGAUAGUUUCUGCCGCCACACUGAGCAUCCAUCCUGAUAAAUCGCAGUUCUUCCAGUAUGAGGACAUCUCUCUGGGCUGUUCGGCGCCGGCGAACUCCAGCGGCUGGACAGUGAGAAGAAACACUUCUUUAAAGACGUUUCAGGCGUGCAAGGGUGGCUUUGGAGCCCUGCAUGAGCCCUCCUGUACCCUGAAGAACGUGUACCCUGAGGACACCGGCGUGUAAUGGUGUGAGUCAGAGCGGGGGGAGUGCAGCAACACCAUCAGCAUCACAGUGAUCCCCGGUGUUGUGAUCCUGGAGAGUCCUGCACUUCCUGUGGCGGAGGGAGAC